GUUUGGUUGAUGUCUUGUUCAAGUAAAAGAAUCAUCAUAUCUUGGUUGGUGAGAACACACAAACAAACACUAUUCACUCUAGUGGCUUAUAUCUUUUGUUUUUCCUAUCCAGUUGUUUGAAAACGACGGCGUUUGUGGUCUCUGAUUUAGAUUGCACACCUUCUCUUCUUCAACAUCAAUUCCAUCAUUUUUUUUUUGGUAAAACAAUUCCAUCAUUUUAUUUUGUACUUUUCCUCAUCGUCUAAAAUUUAUCCUAUAACCUUUUUUUUUGUGUCACUCUAAUACAUCGAAGUUAAUCGGCUUUUUUGCUUCUAUAUAAUGUGAUAAAACGAUCAUAAACAAUGCCUUUUUGUUUGAAAAAAGGUGGUCAAGUGGGAGUUCUAG